UGGGGAAUUUUGGACAAUGGGCGCAAGCCUGAUCCAGCAAUGCCGCGUGCAGGAUGAAGGCCUUCGGGUUGUAAACUGCUUUUGUACGGAACGAAAAGGCUCUGGCUAAUACCUGGGGCACAUGACGGUACCGUAAGAAUAAGCACCGGCUAACUACGUGCCAGCAGCCGCGGUAAUACGUAGGGUGCGAGCGUUAAUCGGAAUUACUGGGCGUAAAGCGUGCGCAGGCGGUUUUGUAAGACAGAGGUGAAAUCCCCGGGCUCAACCUGGGAACUGCCUUUGUGACUGCAAGGCUGGAGUGCGGCAGAGGGGGAUGGAAUUCCGCGUGUAGCAGUGAAAUGCGUAGAUAUGCGGAGGAACACC
rnacentral:rRNA from 1 species